rnacentral:lncRNA from 1 species
UUCAAGACCAUCCUGGCCAACAUGGAGAAACCCUGUCUCUACUGAAAAUAGAAAAAUUCGCUGGGUGUGGUGGCGGGCGCCUGUAGUCCCAGCUACUCGGAAGGCUGAGGCACAAGAAUCGCUUGAACCCGGGAGGUGGAGGUUGCAAUGAGCCAAGAUCACGCCAUUGUAAUCCAGCCUGGGUGGAAGAGCUAGACUUCGUCCCCCCGAAAAAUAAAUAAAUAAAUAAAUAAAUAAAUGGGGUUGUAUAUAGGCUUAGAAUGGGUCAGUCAGAAAUUCAGGGGCCACUGGUCGUGGUGGCUCAUGCCCAUAAUCUCAGCACUUGGGGAGGCUGAGGUGGGCAGAUCACUUGAGGUCAGAAGACAAGUGUGGCCAGCAUGAUGAAAACCCAUCUCUACGAAAAGUAUAAAAAUUAACUGGGCAUGAUGGCACACACCUGUAAACCCAGCUACUCUGGCGACUGAGGCAUGAGAAUCACUUGAACACCAGGGAGGCGGAGGUUGCAGUGAGCCAAGAUCAUGCUACUGCACUCCAGCCUGGGCUACAGAACAAGACUGUCUCAAAAAAAGAAAAAAGUUCAGGGACCUGGAGGUAGGAGAGAAACUGAAGCAUGCUUUGGUUAAUAGAUAUUUCGUUCUGACUGAUCACUAAAGACAAAGCUAUUCACCUAAUGGUUUGUGAGGUAAAUACUGGAAUGUCUAAUCUGUAUCUGGUUUGUCAUAGGUAACAAACGUGGCACAAUCUAAGUCAUAAUGCGAAGGGUGUUUCAUUGCAGUAAGGUGCUCUUGCACAACACAAAGGGUGGGGGAUUCUUUUUUUUUUUCUUCUUUUUUUUUGAGACAGAGUCUCGCUCUGUUGCCCAGGGUGGAGUAGAGUGGCGCAGUCUCGGCUCACUGCAACCUCUGCCUCCCAGGUUCAAACGAUUCUCCUUGCUCAGCCUCCUGAGUAGCUGGGACUACAGGCACAUGCCACCUCACCCUGCUCAUUUUUGUGUGUGUUUUUAGUAGUGACGGAGUUUCACCGUGUUGAUCAGGCUGGUCUCAAAGUCCUGACCUCAAGUGAUCCACCUGCCUCAGCCUCCCGAAGUUCUAGGAUUACAGGCAUUAGCCAUUGCACCUGGCCA